ensembl:lncRNA
CUUGCUAAAUACAAUUUACAUAGGCUUACACUACUAAUGCUGUGCUUUUUGCAGACUUCAUGUUAUGCAUCAUCUUCCAUAACCCGGGAUCCUGCAAACCUGUUGCAACACCUGACUCACAGAAAAGCUUUUCAGAAUUAUUGAGAGAGGCUGCCAACCGCCUCAACUGGACGGGACGCGGUAUGGGCUGUAAUUCAGGACAUCCUGGCUUGCACAUCCAUUUGAUUCAGUUUCUUCUUAGGUCCCGUUCCCACAUGUGCCAAUGCAAAGUGUUCUAUAAAAUGAAUUUGAGGAACAGAUAACACCAGUGGCUGAGUGGGACAAUUUAUAAAAACCCCAACAUAUGGUCUGUAUUCCAGUAAUACAUCCUCCUGCUCUGAUUUGUAUUGAACACUGAUACAACCUUACAGCAUGAAUAUUUACUGAUGACAAAGGAGAACCACUAAUAAAACACACAGAAACUACAGCAAUCAGUGUUCAAAUGAGUGCUGACAAUCUUUCAAGCAGUAGAUGAACACAACUUUACUAGGAAUGGAUUGGGUGGACAGCCUGGCAGAAUUUCUUAUGAAACAGAAGACCAGUAAAAAAAUGUAUAUAUGAGAA